UACGUAGGGUGCGAGCGUUGCCCGGAUUUAUUGGGCGUAAAGGGCGCGUAGGCGGCUCGGCACGUCCGUUGUGAAAUCGCCCGGCUCAACUGGGCGGGGUCAGCGGAUACGGUCGAGCUUGAGCAAGCUAGGGGGCAAUGGAAUUCCCGGUGUAGUGGUGGAAUGCAUAGAUAUCGGGAGGAACACCAGUGGCGAAGGCGGUUGCCUGGAGCUUUGCUGACGCUGAGGCGCGAAAGCGUGGGGAGCGAUCCGG
rnacentral:rRNA from 1 species